rnacentral:lncRNA from 1 species
UUAUGGACUGGAAGCAACGAGCAAUAUUAUAGCAAUUAUUCUUUUAAAGUUUCAUUAGAUAGAAAUUGGGUUUUUUGGUCUGGAUCCUUUAGAGCAGUUUUGAGAUGUAAAAUAGGAAAGAGAAGAAAAGAGAGAGAUUUUGGCUAUGAAAAACAGACUACAUUUAAUGGCUCAACAAUGGUGCUAGUUUGAACUAGGUUAUGCAACAUGGCUAGGUCUAUGCAUAACAGGACAUGGCCAGCAACCAUUUUGUGAAAACAAGAACUGCCCCUUACCUCUUUAAUUUAAGCAGCCUCAUUGAUCGAAAUACCCUUAUUCUUCUGCAUAUGCAUGUUGUUCCAGUUGCUAAUGUAUGUAGGAUUUUUACCCUUCUACAUUUUCCCCAAAAAAAAUUGAGAAAUAUUUUCAGGGGACAUAUGUAAACCUUAAAACAUAUUAAGGAAAACAUAUAGUAACUUGAAGAUGAUAAAACAAGGCUUUCAAGAUUAUAUUUAUGUAAACCCAUGACACAAGUCAGAAAAAAAAAAAAAAAAAAAAGAAGAAGGCAGAAGCAAGAUUUUUAGCUAUCCAUACCUCUUAAGCAAGUAUUUCAAACAACCUACUGCAAAAAAGAAAACAGAAUAUGCUAGACACUAUAUUUUUGGAGGGCUUGAGUCCAAAUUAGUCUUCAAACUCAAAAUAGUAUAUGCCUUCGCCCUCUAAGUUUCACUAAUCAUCAUAAAACAAAACAUUAUUUUUCCCAGUUGGUUCAAAGUAAUAUUGUAAUCAACAACACAUCCAUUUUAUAGAGUCAGAUCAAGUGCAGUGAAUAAAAUUAGGCUUAACACAUGCCUCUCGUGUAGUAAUUAAUAACAAAUGAUUAUUCUUUACAAUUCUUAAUUAUAUAUGCCCUAAUUGAUCAUAAAACCAUUUCAAAUCAACAAAAUUUUAUCCUAGAAGCUAAUGGAAUUACCUUUCAUAAAAUCCAAGCAACUAGUGAUCAUCACAUAAAGCCGAAAUGGUUUGUUAAAAAAGAAAAAAAAGUGGCUGGAAGAGAUUUUAAAGGAUUUCCAAGACUUGGAAAACAAUGAAUCAGACUCAAAGCAUUAAACAUAGCAAAUGAAAUAACUACUGGGUAAGUGCGCAAGUGAAUGAUUUCACAUUUGACACAGAAUCCACAUCAAAUGGACAACAGGGCACUCAUAUCAAAUACAAG